rnacentral:rRNA from 1 species
UUUUGACCUCAGUUCAGACAAGGCUACCCGCCGAAUUUAAGCAUAUUACUAAGCGGAGGAAAAGAAACUAACAAGGAUUCCCCUAGUAACGGCGAGCGAACCGGGAAGAGCCCAACUUGAAAAUCUAAAGGUUUACCUUUCGAAUUGUAGUCUAGAGACGCGUUCUCUGCGGCGGAUCGGCUCCAAGUUCCCUGGAAAGGGACGUCAGAGAGGGUGAGAACCCCGUCGAAGCCGGUUUCAGUCGCUCCACGAGGCGCAGUCGAGGAGUCGGGUUGUUUGGGAAUGCAGCCCUAAGCAGGUGGUAAAUUCCAUCUAAGGCUAAAUAUUGGCGAGAGACCGAUAGCGAACAAGUACCGCGAGGGAAAGAUGAAAAGACCUUUGAAAAGAGAGUUAAAAAGUACCUGAAAUUGUUGAGGGGGAAGCGAUUCAAACCUGUGGGUGCUCCCAGGGCAGUAGCAAUACACGCGCCUGGGGCUGGUCAACGUGGGUUAGCUUGGAGGGACAUCACUUCCGAGUUGACCGAGGACUCGACGUUGGCGGAAAGGUUUGCAUCGGCCCGUCUAGAAACACGGACCAAGGAGUCUAA